rnacentral:rRNA from 1 species
AUUGAACGCUAGCGGCAUGCCUUACACAUGCAAGUCGAACGGAGCGGCGAACGGGUGAGUAAUGCCUCGGAAUCUGCCUAGUAGUGGGGGAUAACUACGCGAAAGGGUAGCUAAUACCGCAUACUAUCAGAUGAGCCUAUAUCGGAUUAGCUAGUUGGUGGGGUAAAGGCCUACCAAGGCGACGAUCCGUAGCUGGUCUGAGAGGACGACCAGUCACACUGGAACUGAGACACGGUCCAGACUCCUACGGGAGGCAGCAGUGGGGAAUAUUGGACAAUGGGCGAAAGCCUGAUGCAGCCAUGCCGCGUGUGUGAAGAAGGCCUUCGGAUUGUAAAGUACUUUAAGCGAGGAGGCGUUACUAACAGAAGAAGCACCGGCUAACUCCGUGCCAGCAGCCGCGGUAAUUC